GAUGAACGCUGGCGGCGUGCUUAACACAUGCAAGUCGAGCGAAGCAAUUUGAAUGAGACUUCGGUGGAUUUUAAAUUGACUGAGCGGCGGACGGGUGAGUAACGCGUGGAUAACCUGCCUCACACAGGGGGAUAACAGUUAGAAAUGACUGCUAAUACCGCAUAAGCGCACGGUACCGCAUGGUACAGUGUGAAAAACUCCGGUGGUGUGAGAUGGAUCCGCGUCUGAUUAGGUAGUUGGUGAGGUAACGGCCCACCAAGCCGACGAUCAGUAGCCGACCUGAGAGGGUGACCGGCCACAUUGGGACUGAGACACGGCCCAAACUCCUACGGGAGGCAGCAGUGGGGAAUAUUGCACAAUGGGCGAAAGCCUGAUGCAGCAACGCCGCGUGAGUGAAGAAGUAUCUCGGUAUGUAAAGCUCUAUCAGCAGGGAAGAAAAUGACGGUACCUGACUAAGAAGCCCCGGCUAACUACGUGCCAGCAGCCGCGGUAAUACGUAGGGGGCAAGCGUUAUCCGGAUUUACUGGGUGUAAAGGGAGCGCAGACGGCACUGCAAGUCUGAAGUGAAAGCCCGGGGCUCAACCCCGGGACUGCUUUGGAAACUGUAGAGCUAGAGUGCUGGAGAGGCAAGCGGAAUUCCUAGUGUAGCGGUGAAAUGCGUAGAUAUUAGGAAGAACACCAGUGGCGAAGGCGGCUUGCUGGACAGUAACUGACGUUCAGGCUCGAAAGCGUGGGGAGCAAACAGGAUUAGAUACCCUGGUAGUCCACGCCGUAAACGAU
rnacentral:rRNA from 1 species